UACGUAGGGGCGAAGCGUUGUCCGGAAUCAUUGGGCGGUAAAGAGCGCGUAGGCGGUCCGGUAAGUCCGCUGUAAAAGUACAGGGCUCAACCCUUGAAAGCCGGUGGAUACUGCCGGACUAGAGUCCGGAAGAGGCGAGUGGAAUUCCCUGGUGUAGCGGUGAAAAUGCGCAGAUAUCAGGAGGAACACCUAUGGCGAAGGCAGCUCGCUGGGGACGGUACUGACGCUGAGGCGCGAAAAGCGUGGGGGA
rnacentral:rRNA from 1 species